rnacentral:rRNA from 1 species
UCCUACGGGAGGCAGCAGUGGGGAAUUUUCUGCAUUGGGCGAAAGCCUGACGGAGCAACGCCGCGUGAGGGAUGAAGGCCUCUGGGCUGUAAACCUCUUUUCUCAAGGAAGAAGAUCUGACGGUACUUGAGGAAUAAGCCACGGCUAAUUCCGUGCCAGCAGCCGCGGUAAUACGGGAGUGGCAAGCGUUAUCCGGAAUUAUUGGGCGUAAAGCGUCCGUAGGCGGCUUUUCAAGUCUGCUGUUAAAAAGUGGAGCUUAACUCCAUCAAGGCAGUGGAAACUGAUUGGCUUGAGUGUGGUAGGGGCAGAGGGAAUUCCCGGUGUAGCGGUGAAAUGCGUAGAUAUCGGGAAGAACACCAGUGGCGAAGGCGCUCUGCUGGGCCAUAACUGACGCUCAUGGACGAAAGCCAGGGGAGCGAAAGGGAUUAGAUACCCCUGUAGUCCUGGCCGUAAACGAUGAACACUAGGUGUCGGGGGAAUCGACCCCCUCGGUGUCGUAGCCAACGCGUUAAGUGUUCCGCCUGGGGAGUACGCACGCAAGUGUGAAACUCAAAUGAAUUGACGG